UACGGAGGGUGCAAGCGUUAUCCGGAUUCACUGGGUUUAAAGGGUGCGUAGGUGGUCUGUUAAGUCGGGGGUGAAAUCCUGGAGCUCAACUCCAGAACUGCCUUCGAUACUGGAAGACUCGAGUCCGGGAGAGGUGAGUGGAACUGCGAGUGUAGAGGUGAAAUUCGUAGAUAUUCGCAAGAACACCAGUGGCGAAGGCGGCUCACUGGCCCGGUACUGACGCUGAGGUGCGAAAAGCGUGGGGGAGCAAACAGGG
rnacentral:rRNA from 1 species